rnacentral:sRNA from 1 species
ACGGAGGCUCCUCGUCCGUCUAGGGUUUUG